rnacentral:rRNA from 1 species
AAGAAUAUGAACUAAUGCUGUUUGGGGGAUGGUUCGGCUCAAGACGCUGAUGAAGGGCGUGACAAGCUGCGAUAAGCCUGGGCUAGGCGCAUGUGGCCUUUGAACCCAGGAUACCCGAAUGGGACUUCCCGUUUUUCAUUCCGAAAGGAAGGGGAACCCCCUGAAUUGAAACAUCUUAGUAGGGGGAGGAAAAGAAAGCAAAUGCGAUGUCCUUAGUAAAGGCGAUCGAAAAGGACAGAGAGCAAACUGAACUUGUGAUACUCAGUAUCAUAAGGAUGUGGUGUGAGGGCUCUACUCAAGAUUACUUCGUGUUAAGCUGAAUUUAUCUGAAAUGAUAUACCGCAGAGGGUGAAAGUCCCGUAAGCGUAAGCAUGAAGAAUUUGUAGAGUUCCAGAGUACUGUGGGUCGGAUAUCCUUCAGGAAUAUGGGAGGCAUCAACUCCUAACUCUAAAUACGUAUUGAGACCGAUAGUGAAUUAGUACCGUGAGGGAAAACUGAAAAGUACCCCGAGAGGGGGGUUAAAAGAACCUGAAACCAAACAGUGAAAGAUAUGCAUGGCUUGAAAGGAGCGAUUCUUCUCGAAGGAACUUGGAGUAAUCCAUCAUUACGAGAGAAGAGGACUAAAGUCAUGCUGUACGUCUUGAAGCACGAGGCAGGGAGUUUCUGGCAGUGGUGAGGUUAAGAAUUUAAUUUCGUAAUCAAAGAGAAAUCAACAGUCCGCAAGAGUUUACUCUGAGGGACGGGGUGUGAAAGUGCCCGGAAUCACUGCCAGCAGACCCGAAACCAGUCGAUCUAUUCCAGGACAGGGUGAAGCCGAUUAAUUAAUUGGUGGAGGCCCGAAGAGGUUCUGACGUACAACUCGUUCUUCUGAUCUUGGAAUAGGAGUGAAAGGCUAAUCAAGGCUGGAGACAGCUGGUUCCUCCCUAAAUAGGCCGCAGUCUAGCCCGAAGGGAGAUAGCAGACAGGGUAGAGCACUGAUUGAAUGUUUAGGGGGAGAAAUCCCUCGGCAUACUGUCAAACUCCGAACUUGUUUGCGUUGUAGAUCUUCGGAGUCGGGGGCAUAGGGGUAAGCUCAUGUCCCCUUAGGGAAAAAACCCAGACUAGAGUUAAGGUCCAUAAAUUCUGGAUAAGUUAAAGGACGUCAUCAGUCUAAAACAGCGGGAAGGUAGGCUUAGAAGCAGCCACCCUUUAAAGAUAGCGUAACAGCUCACCCGUCUAGAUUGAUGGCUCCGAUAAUGGAAUGGAUUAAGCCAGAUACCGAUACUCUAGGACUCGAAAGAGAUUCGCUAGGGAGGCGUUCUGAUAGGGCAGAAGCUGGGGCGUGAGUUCCAGUGGACCUGUCAGUAUUGUGGAUCCUGCCGGGAGUAACAGCAAAGUGGGGUUAGAAUCCCCACCGCCGAAAGGGCCAGGAUUCCUCAGCAAUGUUCGUCAACUGAGGGUUAGUCGAUCCUAAGGCUAUUCGUAACUCGAUUUAGCCGAAAGGGAAACCCGUUAAUAUUCGGGUACCAUAAAGAUACACGCGGCAACGCUAGUUCUAUCCUUGACACUUCGGAGUACGCUGAAUGGAACCAUCGUUCCAUCUAACUUUAUAAUUCCAUGGAGAUGCUUAAUGCAGAGAAGUGGAAGAAAUUAGGAAUGGCCUGACGUUUUAGUCGGGUUCGGCCGAUCUCUGGAGUCCGUGAAAAGAGAAUAGAAAUGAAUUCUUUAUGUUCGUACUGAGAUCCGACACAGGUGCCCCUUGGUGAGAAGCCUAAGGCGUGUUGGGAUACUCCAGUUAAGGGAACUCGGCAAAAUAGCUCCGUAACUUUGGGAUAAGGAGUGCGUACUGUCUUUAACCGGACGGUACGUCUCAGUAACUUGAGGGCUUCGACUGUUUAAUAAAAACACAGCUAGCUGCUAUCCUGUAAAGGUUUGUACAGCUGGUGACAUCUGCCCAGUGCCGGCACGUUAACCCCGGUUUCAACCGGGCGAAGCGCCGGUAAACGGCGGGAGUAACUAUAACUCUCUUAAGGUAGCGUAAUACCUUGCCGCUUAAUUGGCGGCUUGCAUGAAUGGUGUAACGAGAGCCCUACUGUCCCUAACUGGAACCUAGUGAA